UUUUUUUUUUUUUGGUUGGAGUAGUUAGUCAUUAGUACAGAAGUGUUUGGUCACGAGCAGGAAAGAAUGAAAAUGUAAAAUUCAGUGGGCUUCAUUUCCAUGGUUGUGGUGUGAAAUUUGUGGGGGAGAUUCCGGAGUGAGGUAUGCCCCAGGUACUCACCUGAAAAAGGGUUCCAGGUACAUGGUGUGUCCGCAGCAUCCCUGGCCCCAUCCUUUCUGUCCUGGAAUUCUGUGUUUGUGGAUAUAUUAGUCAGGACAGGCUAGUUUAGUUUAUGCUACAGCAACAAGUGGCUCCCAAAUCUUAGUGACUUAGAGACUGACAGAUCUUCUCCACCACAUCCUUUGCCGAUUGGCUGUUGCUCUGCUUCCAGUCAUCCUGCUGGAGCAGUCUCUCCCUGGAACACUUGGUCACUGUGGCAGAAGGAAAGGAAAAAUGGUGAACCACUUCCUGGCUCGAAAAGCUUCUGUGUGGAAGUGACACACAUCUCUUCUGUCUACAUUUCAGAAGGGAUGGGGCCAGGGAUGCUGAGGACACACCAUGUACCCUUUUUCAGCAAUAUAUUGGAACAUUUCCUCAUAGUGUUUUUUUUCUUCGGCAUAUAAUUAAGUAGCCGCUUCCCCAACCCCCAUACAUGAUAUUGUUUCAAGUCUCAUCACUCUGAGCAUGCACGAAAGGGGAGAGAAUGUCCUUUGAAGUCAGACACAUCCAGCUUUGAAUCCUAGCUCCACCACUUACUGGAUUUAUGUGUUUCAGUUUCGUUUUUCUUUCUCAUUUGUAAAAUGUUGAUAAUUACACACAGUUUAAGGCAAGUUGUGAAGAUUAAUUAAAGAGGUGAAAUAUAACACUUGAUGCAGUGCAGACACUCUAAUAAAUGGCAUUUGCUGUUAUUUUUAUUAUCAUUAUACUUUUUAAAAGAGGGGUUUAAAGAACCAAAACUGAUACCAUAUUCAGAUGUGAUCUGAUCAUCCCUAAGUAGAGUGAGACUCUCAACCUAUGAUAAGGAUGAUACUAAUACUUAAAAGAGUGGCUUUUCAAAAAUGGACAAAUGGAGUCUAAUCAAACUAAAGAGCUUCAGCACCUUAAAAGAAACUAUCAACAGAGUAAACAGACAACCUCCACAAUGGGAGAAAAUAUUUGCAAACUACGCAUCUGACAAAGGCCUAAUAUCCAGCAUCUAUAAGGAAUUUAAAUCUACAAGAGAAAAAGAAACAAUCCCAUUAAAAAGUGGGCAAAGGACAUGAACAGACACUUUUCAAGAGAAGACAUACAUGUGGCCAACAAGCAUAUGAAAGAAAACCCAACACCACUGAUCUUUAGAGAAAUGCAAAUCAAAACCACAAUAAGAUAUCAUCUCUCACCAAUCAGAAUGGCUAUUAUCAAAAAAUCAAAAAAUAACAGGUGCUAUUGAGGUUGCAGAGAAAAAGUAAUGCUUAUAUAUCAUUGAUGCUCCAGAAUGUAAAUUAGUUCAACCAGUGUGGUGACUCCUCAAAGACUUAAAGACGGAAAUAUUAUCUGGCCCAGCAAUCCCAUUACUGGGCACAUACCCAAAGGAAUAUAAAUCAUUCUAUCAUAAAGACACAUGCAUACAUAUGUUCAUUGUAGCACUGUUCACAAUAGCAAAGACAUGGAAUUAACCUAAAUGCCCAUCAGUGGUAGUCUGGAUAAAGAAAAUAUGGUACAUAUAAACCAUGAAAUACUGUGCAGCCAUAAAAAAGAGUAUCAUGUCCUUUGCAGGAACAUGGAUGGAGCUGGAGGCCAUUAUCCUUAGUAAACUAAUGCAAGAACAGAAAAUCAAAUGCCCCAUAUUCUCACUUAUAGGUGGGAGCUAAAUAAUAAGAACACAUAGACACAUAGAGGGGAGCAACAGACACAGGGUCCUACCAGAGGGUGGAGGGUGGCAGGAGAGAGAGGAUCAGGAAGGAUAACUAAUGGGUUAGGCUUAAUAUGUGGGUGAUGAAAUAAUCUGUACAGCAAACCCCCAUGACAUGAAUUUACCUAUAUACAAACCUGCGUGUGUACCCCUGACCUUAAAAAUAAAAUG
rnacentral:lncRNA from 10 species